rfam:Shimwellia blattae DSM 4481 = NBRC 105725, complete genome.
GGAUUCUUUUUCAGGAUCAGGCGGGGGGUAUCCCCUGAACGCUGAGGCGUACAUCGAGUCGUUGGCCUGAUUCCGUAGCAUUGAGUGAUGUACGGAGCUUAAAGAGC